rnacentral:rRNA from 1 species
AGCGAACGCUGGCGGCAGGCCUAACACAUGCAAGUCGAACGAACCUUUCGGGGUUAGUGGCGGACGGGUGAGUAACACGUGGGAACGUGCCUUUAGGUUCGGAAUAACUCAGGGAAACUUGUGCUAAUACCGAAUGUGCCCUUCGGGGGAAAGAUUAAUCGCCUUUAGAGCGGCCCGCGUCUGAUUAGCUAGUUGGUUGAGGUAAUGGCUCACCAAGGCGACGAUCAGUAGCUGGUCUGAGAGGAUGAUCAGCCACAUUGGGACUGAGACACGGCCCAAACUCCUACGGGAGGCAGCAGUGGGGAAUCUUGGGCAAUGGGCGAAAGCUUGACACAGCCAUGCCGCGUGAAUGAUGAAGGUCUUAGGAUUGUAAAAUUCUCUCACCGGGGACGUGAAUGACGGUACCCGGAGAAGAAGCCCCGGCUAACUUCGUG